rnacentral:rRNA from 1 species
UUAAGCGAAUAAGCGUACACGGUGGAUGCCUAGGCAAUCAGAGGCGAUGAAGGACGUGCUAAUCUGCGAAAAGCGUCGGUAAGGUGAUAUGAACCGUUAUACCCGACGAUAUCCGAAUGGGGAAACCCAGUAUCCAAUGGAUACUAUCAUUAACUGAAUCCAUAGGUUAAUGAGGCGAACCGGGAGAACUGAAACAUCUCAGUACCCCGAGGAAAAGAAAUCAACCGAGAUUCCCCUAGUAGCGGCGAGCGAACGGGGAGCAGCCCAGAGUCUUAAUCAAUAACAGUGUCAGGAGAACGGUCUGGAAAGUCCGGCAGUAAAGGGUGAUAGCCCCGUAUCUGAAGAUGCUGUUAUUGUGAACUCGACGAGUAGGGCGGGACACGUGUUAUCCUGUCUGAAUAUGGGGGGACCAUCCUCCAAGGCUAAAUACUCCUGAUUGACCGAUAGUGAACCAGUACCGUGAGGGAAAGGCGAAAAGAACCCCGGCGAGGGGAGUGAAAAAGAACCUGAAACCGUGUACGUACAAGCAGUAGGAGCCUCUUUAUGGGGUGACUGCGUACCUUUUGUAUAAUGGGUCAGCGACUUAUAUUCUGUAGCGAGGUUAACCGUAUAGGGGAGCCGUAGGGAAACCGAGUCUUAACUGGGCGAAUGAGUUGCAGGGUAUAGACCCGAAACCCGGUGAUCUAUCCAUGGGCAGGUUGAAGGUUGGGUAACACUAACUGGAGGACCGAACCGACUAAUGUUGAAAAAUUAGCGGAUGACUUGUGGAUGGGGGUGAAAGGCCAAUCAAACCGGGAGAUAGCUGGUUCUCCCCGAAAGCUAUUUAGGUAGCGCCUCGUGAAUUCAUCUUCGGGGGUAGAGCACUGUUUCGACUAGGGGGUCAUCCCGACUUACCAACUCGAUGCAAACUGCGAAUACCGAAGAAUGUUAUCACGGGAGACACACGGCGGGUGCUAACGUCCGUCGUGAAGAGGGAAACAACCCAGACCGCCAGCUAAGGUCCCAAAGUCAUGGUUAAGUGGGAAACGAAGUGGGAAGGCUCAGACAGCCAGGAUGUUGGCUUAGAAGCAGCCAUCAUUUAAAGAAAGCGUAAUAGCUCACUGGUCGAGUCGGCCCGCGCGGAAGAUGUAACGGGGCUAAACCAUGCACCGAAGCUGCGGCAGCGACACAAAGUGUUGUUGGGUAGGGGAGCGUUCUGUAAGCCUGCGAAGGUGUACUGUGAGGUAUGCUGGAGGUAUCAGAAGUGCGAAUGCUGACAUAAGUAACGAUAAUGCGGGUGAAAAACCCGCACGCCGGAAGACCAAGGGUUCCUGUCCAACGUUAAUCGGGGCAGGGUGAGUCGACCCCUAAGGCGAGGCUGAAAAGCGUAGUCGAUGGGAAACGGGUUAAUAUUCCCGUACUGGUGGUAACUGCGAUGGGGGAACGGAGAAGGCUAGGUUGUCCGGGCGACGGUCGUCCCGGUUCAAGCAGGUAGGCAGAGUGAUUAGGCAAAUCCGGUCACUUAAUGCUGAGAUGUGAUGACGAACCACCAAGGUGGUGAAGCAAUUGAUGCCCCGCUUCCAGGAAAAGCCUCUAAGCUUCAGGUUACCAACAAUCGUACCCCAAACCGACACAGGUGGUCAGGUAGAGAAUACUCAGGCGCUUGAGAGAACUCGGGUGAAGGAACUAGGCAAAAUGGUGCCGUAACUUCGGGAGAAGGCACGCUGGCGGUAGGUAAAGUCCCUCGCGGACGGCGCUGAAGCCAGUCGAAGAUACCAGCUGGCUGCAACUGUUUAUUAAAAACACAGCACUGUGCAAACACGAAAGUGGACGUAUACGGUGUGACGCCUGCCCGGUGCUGGAAGGUUAAUUGAUGGGGUUAGCGUAAGCGAAGCUCCUGAUCGAAGCCCCAGUAAACGGCGGCCGUAACUAUAACGGUCCUAAGGUAGCGAAAUUCCUUGUCGGGUAAGUUCCGACCUGCACGAAUGGCGUAAUGAUGGCCAGGCUGUCUCCACCCGAGACUCAGUGAAAUUGAACUCGCUGUGAAGAUGCAGUGUACCCGCGGCAAGACGGAAAGACCCCGUGAACCUUUACUAUAGCUUGACACUGAACAUUGAGCCUUGAUGUGUAGGAUAGGUGGGAGGCUUUGAAGUGUGGACGCCAGUCUACAUGGAGCCAACCUUGAAAUACCACCCUUUAACGUUUGAUGUUCUAACCUAGGCCAUAAACUGGGUCGGGGACCGUGUCUGGUGGGUAGUUUGACUGGGGCGGUCUCCUCCUAAAGAGUAACGGAGG